UAGGGAAUCUUCGGCAAUGGGGGCAACCCUGACCGAGCAACGCCGCGUGAGUGAAGAAGGUUUUCGGAUCGUAAAGCUCUGUUGUAAGAGAAGAACGUGUGUGAGAGUGGAAAGUUCACACAGUGACGGUAACUUACCAGAAAGGGACGGCUAACUACGUGCCAGCAGCCGCGGUAAUACGUAGGUCCCGAGCGUUGUCCGGAGUUAUUGGGCGUAAAGCGAGCGCAGGCGGUUUAAUAAGUCUGAAGUUAAAGGCAGUGGCUUAACCAUUGUUCGCUUUGGAAACUGUUACACUUGAGUGCAGAAGGGGAGAGUGGAAUUCCAUGUGUAGCGGUGAAAUGCGUAGAUAUAUGGAGGAACACCGGUGGCGAAAGCGGCUCUCUGGUCUGUAACUGACGCUGAGGCUCGAAAGCGUGGGGAGCAAACAGG
rnacentral:rRNA from 1 species